AACUUGCUACAUGCUGAAGCAGAAACUGCUGCCUGUGGCUUAAGAGCAGGUCACCAGAAUGCCAGCAUGGAUACGCAGCACUGCCUGAAGGAGUUUGUUUUGCUGCUCCCACACCAGGGCACUUACAGUCAUGUGCAAUUGCCUACCUUCUCUGGUUGCCUCGUUGCCUGGAAUUGUCAUCAUUUGUGGCUUGACUGCUUUGUUCUGCAUUGUGCUUUUUGACACCACACCUGCUCAUGGACAAAAGAGGAGUGUCAAGAAGUUCAGGGAGCCAGGAAAGGUUGAUCGUCAUAUCCGUAGUGUAGCUACCAAUCCAAACACACCUCAAGAAGCCAUUGAAUUUGAUGUAGGCGACUUACUAGUCAAGGUGGAGAAGAUCAGUCCUGUCCACAAUGCAUGCCCAGAGAUCUUUCCAAAAGAGAAGUUUGUGCCUGGCAGCAAAGCAUGGCAAGUACAAAUGAUGACUGAUGCCCAGGAAGACAGAAGUUCAGAUGAGCAAAGUUAUGUUUUGACUUGCCAGUACUUGCAGAACACUUUACAGAUCCUCCUGGAGAUAAUUUCUGGCACUUCCCACAAGAGAGGUGAUGUGAGAUCCACCACCAUCAGUAAGAACAGAAAGUCCAAGUAGGCAGCAAAAGCCAUGCCAAGAAGGCAGCAAGAAUGAAGUGAAAAAGAGAGAACCUACCUUGUUUUUGAUUUGGAAACUUUCUUUUUUACAACUUUCAGUGCAAAGAACCUUCUCUCCUUUGUCACCUAAGAACUAAGUUUGUGGGUGUGUUUCUCACUCUUUCAUUAAAAAUUCAC
rnacentral:lncRNA from 12 species